rnacentral:lncRNA from 1 species
UCAAAGAACUGAACAAAACACACAGAGCUGCACCUGGCAAGGGAAAUAAGAAGUCACCUUAGCCUAUUUACUCUCCCAUUCUGUGCCACAGGUUCCUUAAGUGACAAUAACUGUACCUACCUUCAAGGGUUACUAUUAAAAGAUUGCAUGAGAGAAUGAAUAUAAACCUCACAGUAGACUAUCUAGCUGAUAUGGUUUGGAUCUAUGUCUUCCCCCUUUGUUUUCUGUCUCUCCUGCUGCCUCGUGAAGAAGGUGCUUCCUUUCCCCUUUGCCUUCUGCCAUGAUUGUAAGUUUCCUGAGGCAUCCCCAGCCAUGCAGAACUGUGAGUCAAUUAAACCUCUUUAUAAAUUAUCCAGUCUCAGGAAAGUUCUUUAUAGCAGUGUGAAAAUGGACUAAUAUAUAAAUGUGUACUAAGUUAGUGGGAUCCUGCUAUAAAGAUACUUGAAAAUGUGGAAGUGACUUUGGAACUGGGUAAUGGGCAGAGGCUGGAACAGUUUAGAGGGCUCAUCAGAAGACAGGAAGAUGUGGGAAAGUUUGGAACUUCCUUGAGACUUCUUGAAUGGUUUUGACCAAAAUGCUGAUAGUGAUAUAGACAAUGAAGUCCAGGCUGAGAUGGUCUCAGACGGAGAUGCGGAACUUCUUGAGAACUGGAAC